GCAGCAAUAGCUCAAUGGUAGAGUGCCGUCCUUCCAAGUCGGAUGUUGUGGGUUCGAGUCCCAUUUGCUGCUCCG
rnacentral:tRNA from 1 species